rnacentral:rRNA from 1 species
AUUGAACGCUGGCGGCAGGCUUAACACAUGCAAGUCGAGCGGGGUGAUGGUGCUUGCACUAUCACUUAGCGGCGGACGGGUGAGUAAUGCUUAGGAAUCUGCCUAUUAGUGGGGGACAACAUCUCGGAAGGGAUGCUAAUACCGCAUACGUCCUACGGGAGAAAGCAGGGGAUCACUUGUGACCUCGCGCUAAUAGAUGAGCCUAAGUCGGAUUAGCUAGUUGGUGGGGUAAAGGCCUACCAAGGCGACGAUCUGUAGCGGGUCUGAGAGGAUGAUCCGCCACACUGGGACGGAGACACGGCCCAGACUCCUACGGGAGGCAGCAGUGGGGAAUAUUGGACAAUGGGGGGAACCCUGAUCCAGCCAUGCCGCGUGUGUGAAGAAGGCCUUAUGGUUGUAAAGCACUUUAAGCGAGGAGGAGGCUCUUUUGGUUAAUACCCAAGAUGAGUGGACGUUACUCGCAGAAUAAGCACCGGCUAACUCUGUGCCAGCAGCCGCCGUAA